GAUGAACGCUAGCUACAGGCUUAACACAUGCAAGUCGAGGGGAAACGACACCGAAAGCUUGCUUUUGAUGGGCGUCGACCGGCGCACGGGUGAGUAACGCGUAUCCAACCUGCCCACCACUUGGGGAUAACCUUGCGAAAGUAAGACUAAUACCCAAUGAUAUCUCUAGAAGACAUCUGAAAGAGAUUAAAGAUUUAUCGGUGAUGGAUGGGGAUGCGUCUGAUUAGCUUGUUGGCGGGGUGACGGCCCACCAAGGCUACGAUCAGUAGGGGUUCUGCGAGGAACGUCCCCCACAUUGGAACUGAGACACGGUCCAAAGUCCUACGGGAGGCAGCAGUGAGGAAUGUUGGUCAAUGUGCGAGAGCCUGAACCAGCCAAGUAGCGUGCAGGAUGACGGCCCUAUGGGUUGUAAACUGCUUUUAUAAGGGAAUAAAGUGAGCCUCGUGAGGCUUUUUGCAUGUACCUUAUGAAUAAGGACCGGCUAAUUCCGUGCCAGCCGCCGCCGUAA
rnacentral:rRNA from 1 species